rnacentral:rRNA from 1 species
ACACAUGCAAGUCGAACGGUGAACACGGAGCUUGCUCUGUGGGAUCAGUGGCGAACGGGUGAGUAACACGUGAGCAACCUGCCCCUGACUCUGGGAUAAGCGCUGGAAACGGCGUCUAAUACUGGAUAUGUGACGUGACCGCAUGGUCUGCGUUUGGAAAGAUUUUUCGGUUGGGGAUGGGCUCGCGGCCUAUCAGCUUGUUGGUGAGGUAAUGGCUCACCAAGGCGUCGACGGGUAGCCGGCCUGAGAGGGUGACCGGCCACACUGGGACUGAGACACGGCCCAGACUCCUACGGGAGGCAGCAGUGGGGAAUAUUGCACAAUGGGCGCAAGCCUGAUGCAGCAACGCCGCGUGAGGGAUGACGGCCUUCGGGUUGUAAACCUCUUUUAGCAGGGAAGAAGCGAAAGUGACGGUACCUGCAGA